GGAUGUAAGGGUGAUCUGGCUGUGCCAGCUCUCACCCCAUUGAUUGCCCAGGUUGAUUCAGCUGAUCUGGCUGGCUAGCCAGGUGUCCCCACCCCCUCACCACUGCAUGCAUAUACCUCCUGAAGCUGUGCCAAAGCUUCCCCAAUAGAGGAGGACCAGUGUUUGGUCAAGGAUAGAGGAGUAGCUGCGCUCCCCUGCUAGAACCUCCAAACAAGCUCUCAGUGUUCACUGGGGACUCCUCUCUGCAGGAGUUUUGCCUUUCCUGUCUACAGGGCCUCGGCUACCACUGU
ensembl:misc_RNA 7SK 7SK RNA